rnacentral:rRNA from 1 species
AGCGAACGUUAGCGGCGCGCCUAACACAUGCAAGUCGCACGAGAAAGGGCUUCGGCCCCGGUAAAGUGGCGCACGGGUGAGUAACACGUGGGCAACCUGCCCAACCCUGGGGGAUAACCUGCCGAAAGGCGGGCUAAUACCGCGUACGAGGGCUCGACUUCGGUCGGGUUCUGAAAGCAGGCCUCUGUACACAAGCUUGCGGGGUUGGAUGGGCCCGCGCUCCAUCAGCUAGUUGGUGAGGUAACGGCUCACCAAGGCUACGACGGAUAGCUGGUCUGAGAGGAUGAUCAGCCACACUGGAACUGAGACACGGUCCAGACUCCUACGGGAGGCAGCAGUGGGGAAUCUUGCGCAAUGGACGAAAGUCUGACGCAGCGACGCCGCGUGGGUGACGAAGGCCUUCGGGUUGUAAAGCCCUGUGGGGUGAGACGAACAGCUGGGGUUCGAAUAGGGCCUUGGUCUGACGGUAUCACCUUAGCAAGCACCGGCUAACCCUGUGCCAGCCGCCGCGGUAAAAC